UGUUAUCAGUAUACUCAUAGUUUAAAUCGAGGUGUAUUUAAUUGCCUUGGUUCCAAUAUUUUGUGCUGUUUCUUUGUAAAAUGCACGUUCAUAUAUUCUUGAUUGUGAUUUCAAUUUUAAAAUCUUUGAAUGCUGAUAGUGAGACAGAGGAAAAACCUAUAAAAUGCUAUGUAUGCAGCAAUGAUGGAUGCGAUGUCAUUGAAGAGGGCCAAACAAAGUUUCUGGAAGAGUGCAGUGCUGGCAAAUGUUUUGUCAAAGAAGAACAACACCUAUUCUACAGCGGAAAUUCUCGGCAAUUUUGUUUUAUCGAGAGGAUGUGGUGAUUCAAGCUGUGGCUCUUUUCCUUCUUCUCUGUGUUGUGAAUGCUACACAGAUGGCUGCAAUCAGAACUCCUGUCUCGUGAAAUCAAAAACUUCCGACUUACAAGCUUCAAGGAAACUAAUUUAUCUUCUGUUUGUCAUAUCUUUAAUAAAUUUCACAUGAUAAAAAAAAUA